rnacentral:lncRNA from 10 species
AGCAGAUUGAUCUCAGGAACCAGAGGUUGCAUGGAUGGCUGGUCCAAUUGAUCCGCCUGUCCUAAUGGAUCAUUGUGUAACAGGGAGGAAAAACAGGAAACUUGAUUUAGGCACCAUUUUGAUCAGAGACUGAAGUCAAAUGAUGGUGUGAUGAAAGUGAUGCUGUGUGAAUUCCAAAGUGAAGACAAAAUGUGAUGAAUUGUGUCAGCUUGAACUGAAAAGGACAGACGGAGCAAAAUGAAAAGAAGCCUUUGUUUUCCAGAAUGAAUGUGGGCAGGA